UACAGAGGGGCAAGCGUUAUUCGGAAUUAUUGGCGUAAGGCGCGUAGGCGGCCUGACAAGUGGAAGGUGAAUCCCUCGGCUUAACCGAGGAACUGCCCUCCAAACUGUCUGGCUUGAGACCGGGAGAGGUGAGUGGAAUUCCAGUGUAGCGGUGAAAUGCGUAGAUAUUGGGAGGAACACCAGUGGCGAAGGCGGCUCACUGGACCGGUACUGGACGCUGAGGCGGCGGAAAAGCGGUGGGAGCAAACGGGG
rnacentral:rRNA from 1 species